UAUGGCCACAUCAUAGUUAAAUACCGCUUCCCGUACGAUCACUCGAGUUAAGCAACGUCGGUCCUGUUUUUGACUUAGAUGGGUGACCACUUGAGAAUACCAUGUGCUGCAAG